CCACACUCCUAAAUCCAGAGACCAAGGUGGCCAGCUAAGUGUUGGUGAGAUUUCUGUUUUGAAUCCACUGAACUCAAAAGCAUGGAUACUCCAUACCUGUUGUUGCAAGAAUCAGUUUUCCAGGGAUUUCUCACUUAUAUCAGCAAGCACAUUAAUUUAUACAUCAACAUUCCAACAGCUCCCUGGAG